rnacentral:rRNA from 1 species
UACGAAGGGGGCUAGCGUUGCUCGGAAUCACUGGGCGUAAAGGGCGCGUAGGCGGCCGAUUAAGUCGGGGGUGAAAGCCUGUGGCUCAACCACAGAAUUGCCUUCGAUACUGGUUGGCUUGAGACCGGAAGAGGACAGCGGAACUGCGAGUGUAGAGGUGAAAUCCGUAGAUAUUCGCAAGAACACCAGUGGCGAAGGCGGCUGUCUGGUCCGGUUCUGACGCUGAGGCGCGAAAGCGUGGGGAGCAAACAGG